rnacentral:rRNA from 1 species
UACGAAGGGGGCUAGCGUUGCUCGGAAUCACUGGGCGUAAAGGGUGCGUAGGCGGUUCUUUAAGUCUGGGGUGAAAUCCUGGAGCUCAACUCCAGAACUGCCUUUGAUACUGAGGAUCUUGAGUUCGGGAGAGGUGAGUGGAACUGCGAGUGUAGAGGUGAAAUUCGUAGAUAUUCGCAAGAACACCAGUGGCGAAGGCGGCUCACUGGUCCGGUACUGACGCUGAGGUGCGAAAGCGUGGGGAGCAAACAGG